GAAGAACACCUGAGGGGAAUUGGCCGAAGAGUUGUAUAAUAUUGGUGUACGUGUUCUGCUAUAACAAAUUAGCUUUGAUGCUGCAUAAAUUAAUAUCAACAGAUUAGCAAAGGAAAAUUUGCAUCCCUCAGCACUAUGGCCUUGAGCUGUGCAGCCUUGUUGUUGAUUCUUCUCCAAGACACUGUUCCACAAGCACUCCCAUUUCUGCUCAUUAGCUGUUCAUAUAGAAUGCGGAGUACUACAUGUUGUAGGUGGACUAAUUGUGCAAUUCUUACAAACUCCCAAUGA
rnacentral:lncRNA from 1 species